AACGAACGCUGGCGGCAUGCCUAACACAUGCAAGUCGAACGAGACCUUCGGGUCUAGUGGCGCACGGGUGCGUAACGCGUGGGAACCUGCCCUUAGGUUCGGAAUAACUCCCCGAAAGGGGUGCUAAUACCGGAUAAUGUCUUCGGACCAAAGAUUUAUCGCCUUUGGAUGGGCCCGCGUUGGAUUAGCUAGUUGGUAGGGUAAAAGCCUACCAAGGCGACGAUCCAUAGCUGGUCUGAGAGGAUGAUCAGCCACACUGGGACUGAGACACGGCCCAGACUCCUACGGGAGGCAGCAGUGGGGAAUAUUAGACAAUGGGCGAAAGCCUGAUCCAGCAAUGCCGCGGGAGUGAUGAAGGCCUUAGGGUUGUAAAGCUCUUUUACCCGGGAUGAUAAUGACAGUACCGUGAGAAUAAGCUCCGGCUAACUCCGUG
rnacentral:rRNA from 1 species